rnacentral:rRNA from 1 species
GACGAACGCUGGCGGCGUGCUUAACACGUGCAAGUCGAACGAAGAGCGACGGAAGCUUGCUUCUCUCAAUCUUAGUGGCGAACGGGUGAGUAACGCGUAAUCAACCUGCCCUUCAGAGGGGGACAACAGUUGGAAACGACUGCUAAUACCGCAUACGAUCUAAUCUCGGCAUCGAGGAUGGAUGAAAGGUGGCCUCUACAUGUAAGCUAUCACUGAAGGAGGGGAUUGCGUCUGAUUAGCUAGUUGGAGGGGUAACGGCCCACCAAGGCGAUGAUCAGUAGCCGGUCUGAGAGGAUGAACGGCCACAUUGGGACUGAGACACGGCCCAGACUCCUACGGGAGGCAGCAGUGGGGAAUCUUCCGCAAUGGACGAAAGUCUGACGGAGCAACGCCGCGUGAGUGAUGACGGCCUUCGGGUUGUAAAGCUCUGUUAAUCGGGACGAAAGGCCUUCUUGCGAAUAGUGAGAAGGAUUGACGGUACCGGAAUAGAAAGCCACGGCUAACUACGUG